rnacentral:rRNA from 2 species
AGCCUGAUGCAGCCAUGCCGCGUGUAUGAAGAAGGCCUUCGGGUUGUAAAGUACUUUCAGCAGUGAGGAAGGUAGUAGUGUUAAUAGCGCUAUUAUUUGACGUUAGCUGCAGAAGAAGCACCGGCUAACUCCGUGCCAGCAGCCGCGGUAAUACGGAGGGUGCGAGCGUUAAUCGGAAUUUCUGGGCGUAAAGCGCAUGCAGGUGGAUGAUUAAGUCAGAUGUGAAAGCCCGGGGCUCAACCUCGGAAUAGCAUUUGAAACUGGUCAUCUAGAGUACUGUAGAGGGGGGUAGAAUUUCAGGUGUAGCGGUGAAAUGCGUAGAGAUCUGAAGGAAUACCGGUGGCGAAGGCGGCCCCCUGGACAGAUACUGACACUCAGAUGCGAAAGCUUUUUUGAGCAAACAGGAUUAGAUACCCUGGUAGUCCACGCCGUAAACGAUGUCUACUUGGAGGUUGUGGCCUUGAGCCGUGGCUUUCGGAGCUAACGCGUUAAGUAGACCGCCUGG